CCUACGGGUGGCUGCAGUGGGGAAUAUUGGACAAUGGGCGAAAGCCUGAUCCAGCCAUGCCGCGUGUGUGAAGAAGGCCUUCGGGUUGUAAAGCACUUUCAGUGGGGAAGAAAGCCUUGGGGCUAAUACCCUCGAGGAAGGACAUCACCCACAGAAGAAGCACCGGCUAACUCCGUGCCAGCAGCCGCGGUAAUACGGAGGGUGCGAGCGUUAAUCGGAAUUACUGGGCGUAAAGCGCGCGUAGGCGGUCUGAUAAGCCGGUUGUGAAAGCCCCGGGCUCAACCUGGGAACGGCAUCCGGAACUGUCAGGCUAGAGUGCAGGAGAGGAAGGUAGAAUUCCCGGUGUAGCGGUGAAAUGCGUAGAGAUCGGGAGGAAUCCCAGUGGCGAAGGCGGUCUUCUGGACUGACACUGACGCUGAGGUGCGAAAGCGUGGGUAGCAAACAGGAUUAGAUACCCGAGUAGUC
rnacentral:rRNA from 1 species